UACGGAGGAUGCAAGCGUUAUCCGGAUUUAUUGGGUUUAAAGGGUGCGCAGGUUGUUUGACAAGUCAGUGGUGAAAGUCUGUCGCUUAACGGUAGGAUUGCCAUUGAUACUGUUAGACUUGAAUAUGGAUGAGGUAGGCGGAAUGUGUAGUGUAGCGGUGAAAUGCAUAGAUAUUACACAGAACACCGAUUGCGAAGGCAGCUUACUAAUCCAUCAUUGACGCUGAGGCACGAAAGCGUGGGGAUCAAACA
rnacentral:rRNA from 1 species